GGAUUGUAGCUCAGUGGUAGAACACUUGCCUAGCAUGUAUGAAACACUGGGUUUGAUUCUCAGCACCG
rnacentral:tRNA from 1 species